AUUUUACUUAAAAAUCAACAAUAACGUACAGAAAGUUGCUUCACAUGAUAGAAAACGAUCUACUAUUUUUACGCUGGGGUUUGUGUUUGGAUAUUUAUGCCUUUAUGUAUUUACCGUUCUGGCUGAUAAGGACAGUAAGGAUGGGCGGAAACGAAAUUUUUAUAACAUUGUACGAGAUGCUUUCAAUGCGUUUUGUAUUGGAAGUACUUUUUUUCAGGUCAUCUAUGGAUAUUUUAUAAAAACGCCUUUGGCAAAAGUGCUUAACAGCUUGGCAUCUUUUGAUUGCAUUUUAAAUACAGUUAGUGCAGGCAAAUGAAACUCAAAUAUAUUUACACGAAUUGAGAUAUAAAAUUCAUAGUAUCAAUCUAGAUAAGCAGAUUUUGGCUAUUUCUACGCAAUUUAUACAUCAGCGAUUAUCAUUUACAGUAUGGGGAUACUUUAGUAUCAAUUUCGAUGUCUUGCAAGGAAUGUUUGGUCUGGUACUAACUUAUUUGGUGCUAUUUAUCCAGCAGGACCAUUCGAUUUCUUAUGCUAUGAGGGAAGACACCAUAAAAUUUGUUAGCGGUACUGCCAAUAUUUCUGAAAAAAUA